rnacentral:rRNA from 1 species
GUUGAAAUGGCUUUCCCUCCAGAGUGGAUCCUGAGUACGGCGGAACACGUGAAAUUCCGUCGGAAUCCGGGAGGACCAUCUCCCAAGGCUAAAUACUCCCUAGUGACCGAUAGUGAACCAGUACCGUGAGGGAAAGGUGAAAAGCACCCCGGAAGGGGAGUGAAACAGUUCCUGAAACCGUGUGCCUACAAGUAGUUAGAGCCCGUUAAUGGGUGAUAGCGUGCCUUUUGUAGAAUGAACCGGCGAGUUACGAUUUGUUGCAAGGUUAAGCGGAAAAAGCGGAGCCGUAGCGAAAGCGAGUCUGAAUAGGGCGCAUAAGUAACAGGUCGUAGACCCGAAACCAGGUGAUCUACCCAUGUCCAGGAUGAAGGUAAGGUAAUACUUACUGGAGGUCCGAACCCACGCACGUUGAAAAGUGCGGGGAUGAGGUGUGGGUAGCGGAGAAAUUCCAAUCGAACUUGGAGAUAGCUGGUUCUCUCCGAAAUAGCUUUAGGGCUAGCCUCGAGGUAAAGAGUCAUGGAGGUAGAGCACUGUUUGGACUAGGGGCCCUUCUCGGGUUACCGAAUUCAGAUAAACUCCGAAUGCCAUGUACUUAUACUCGGGAGUCAGACUGCGAGUGAUAAGAUCCGUAGUCGAAAGGGAAACAGCCCAGACCACCAGUUAAGGUCCCCAAAUAUAUGUUAAGUGGAAAAGGAUGUGGGGUUGCUUAGACAACCAGGAUGUUGGCUUAGAAGCAGCCACCAUUGAAAGAGUGCGUAAUAGCUCACUGGUCGAGUGACCCCGCGCCGAAAAUGUACCGGGGCUAAACAUAUUACCGAAACUGUGGAUGAACCUCUUUAGAGGUUCGUGGUAGGAGAGCGUUCUAAGGGCGGUGAAGUCAGACCGGAAGGACUGGUGGAGCGCUUAGAAGUGAGAAUGCCGGUAUGAGUAGCGAAAGAAGGGUGAGAAUCCCUUCCACCGAAUAUCUAAGGUUUCCUGAGGAAGGCUCGUCCGCUCAGGGUUAGUCGGGACCUAAGCCGAGGCCGAUAGGCGUAGGCGAUGGACAACAGGUAGAGAUUCCUGUACCAGUGCUAAUUGUUUAACCGAUGGGGUGACACAGAAGGAUAGGGAAUCGCACGAAUGGAAAUGUGCGUCCAAGCAGUGAGUGUGAGAAGUAGGCAAAUCCGCUUCUCGCGAAGCAUGAGCUGUGAUGGGGAAGGAAAUUAAGUACGGAAGUUCCUGAUUUCACGCUGUCAAGAAAAGCCUCUAGGAAGAGUAGUACUGCCCGUACCGCAAACCGACACAGGUAGAUGAGGAGAGAAUCCUAAGGUGAGCGAGAGAACUCUCGUUAAGGAACUCGGCAAAAUGACCCCGUAACUUCGGGAGAAGGGGUGCUCUAUUAGGGUGCAAGCCCGAGAGAGCCGCAGUGAAUAGGCCCAGGCGACUGUUUAGCAAAAACACAGGUCUCUGCAAAACCGUAAGGUGACGUAUAGGGGCUGACGCCUGCCCGGUGCUGGAAGGUUAAGAGGAGUGCUUAGCUUCGGCGAAGGUACGAAUUGAAGCCCCAGUAAACGGCGGCCGUAACUAUAACGGUCCUAAGGUAGCGAAAUUCCUUGUCGGGUAAGUUCCGACCCGCACGAAAGGCGCAACGAUCUGGGCACUGUCUCAACGAGAGACUCGGUGAAAUUAUAGUACCUGUGAAGAUGCAGGUUACCCGCGACAGGACGGAAAGACCCCGUGGAGCUUUACUGCAACCUGAUAUGGAAUGUUUGUACCGCUUGUACAGGAUAGGUAGGAGCCGAAGAGACGUGUGCGCUAGCAUACGAGGAGGCAAUGGUGGGAUACUACCCUGGCUGUAUGACCAUUCUAACCCGCCACGCUUAGCGCGUGGGGAGACAGUGUCAGGUGGGCAGUUUGACUGGGGCGGUCGCCUCCUAAAGAGUAACGGAGGCGCCCAAAGGUUCCCUCAGAAUGGAUGGAAAUCAUUCGCAGAGUGUAAAGGCACAAGGGAGCUUGACUG